GACGAACGCUGGCGGCGUGCUUAACACAUGCAAGUCGAACGGAAAGGCCCUGCUUUUGUGGGGUGCUCGAGUGGCGAACGGGUGAGUAACACGUGAGUAACCUGCCCUUGACUUUGGGAUAACUUCAGGAAACUGGGGCUAAUACCGGAUAGGAGCUCCUGCUGCAUGGUGGGGGUUGGAAAGUUUCGGCGGUUGGGGAUGGACUCGCGGCUUAUCAGCUUGUUGGUGGGGUAGUGGCUUACCAAGGCUUUGACGGGUAGCCGGCCUGAGAGGGUGACCGGCCACAAUGGGACUGAGAUACGGCCCAGAAUCCUACGGGGGGCAGCAGUGGGGAAUAUUGCACAAUGGGCGGAAGCCUGAUGCAGCAACGCCGCGUGCGGGAUGGCGGCCUUCGGGUUGUAAACCGCUUUCGCCUGGGACGGAGCGGGAGUGACGGUAAUGGGUAAAGAAGGACCGGCUAACUACGUG
rnacentral:rRNA from 1 species